UAUUCCUACGGGGGGCAGCAGUGGGGAAUAUUGCACAAUGGGGGAAACCCUGAUGCAGCGACGCCGCGUGAAGGAAGAAGUAUUUCGGUAUGUAAACUUCUAUCAGCAGGGAAGAAAAUGACGGUACCUGACUAAGAAGCCCCGGCUAACUACGUGCCAGCAGCCGCGGUAAUACGUAGGGGGCAAGCGUUAUCCGGAUUUACUGGGUGUAAAGGGAGCGUAGGUGGCAUGGCAAGCCAGAAGUGAAAACCCGGGGCUUAACCCCGCGGAUUGCUUUUGGAACUGUCAGGCUGGAGUGCAGGAGG
rnacentral:rRNA from 1 species